GCGUCAUUGGUCUAGGGGUUAGGAUUCAACUCUUCCAUGCUGAAAAGUUGAGGCCCGGAUUCGAGUUCCGGAUGACGCA
rnacentral:tRNA from 1 species